rnacentral:rRNA from 1 species
GACGAACGCUGGCGGCGUGCUUAACACAUGCAAGUCGAACGGAAAGGCCCUGCUUUUGUGGGGUGCUCGAGUGGCGAACGGGUGAGUAACACGUGAGUAACCUGCCCUUGACUUUGGGAUAACUUCAGGAAACUGGGGCUAAUACCGGAUAGGAGCUCCUGCUGCAUGGGGGGGGUUGGAAAGUUUCGGCGGUUGGGGAUGGACUCGCGGCUUAUCAGCUUGUUGGUGGGGUAGUGGCUUACCAAGGCUUUGACGGGUAGCCGGCCUGAGAGGGUGACCGGCCACAUUGGGACUGAGAUACGGCCCAGACUCCUACGGGAGGCAGCGGUGGGGAAUAUUGCACAAUGGGCGGAAGCCUGAUGCAGCAACGCCGCGUGCGGGAUGACGGCCUUCGGGUUGUAAACCGCUUUCGCCUGUGACGAAGCGUGAGUGACGGUAAUGGGUAAAGAAGCACCGGCUAACUACGUG